rnacentral:rRNA from 1 species
UGGGGAAUAUUGGACAAUGGGCGAAAGCCUGAUCCAGCAAUGCCGCGUGUGUGAAGAAGGCCCGAGGGUUGUAAAGCACUUUCAAUAGAGACGAAAAGCUUGAGGAUAAUACCCUCAAGUCUUGACUUAACCUAUAGAAGAAGCACCGGCUAACUCCGUGCCAGCAGCCGCGGUAAUACGGAGGGUGCAAGCGUUAAUCGGAAUUACUGGGCGUAAAGCGCUCGUAGGCGGUUUGUUAAGUCGGAUGUGAAAGCCCCGGGCUUAACCUGGGAACUGCAUUCGAUACUGGCAGACUAGAGUAUAGUAGAGGCAAGUGGAAUUCCGGGUGUAGCGGUGAAAUGCGUAGAUAUCCGGAGGAACAUCAGUGGCGAAGGCGACUUGCUGGACUAAUACUGACGCUGAGGAGCGAAAGCGUGGGGAGCAAACGGGAUUAGAUACCCCCGUAGUCC